GACGAACGCUGGCGGCGUGCUUAACACAUGCAAGUCGAACGGAAAGGCCCUGCUUGCAGGGUACACGAGUGUCGAACGCGUGUGUAACACGUGGGUGUUCUGUCCCGCACACUGGGGUAAACCCGUGAAACUGGGUCUAAUAUCGCGGAGGAGCCCUCUUUUGUGUGAUGGUUGGAGAGAUUUUUCGGGGUGGGAUGAGCUCGCGGCCCAUCAGCUUGUUGGUGGGGUAAUGGCCUACCAAGGCGGCGACGGGUAGCCGGCCUGAGAGGGUGGACGGCCACAUUGGGACUGAGAUACGGCCCAGACUCCUACGGGAGGCAGCAGUGGGGAAUAUUGCACAAUGGGCGCAAGCCUGAUGCAGCGACGCCGCGUGGGGGAUGACGGCCUUCGGGUUGUAAACUCCUUUCGCUAGGGACGAAGCGUUUGUGACGGUACCUGGAGAAGAAGCACCGGCUAACUACGUG
rnacentral:rRNA from 1 species